rnacentral:lncRNA from 1 species
AUGCAUUGUCUUUACAGGGAAGGGGAGAUUGAUCCCAAAGGUGAUCCAGAGAUCAUUAGGGCUGCCAUUUGCACCAGAGGCCUGGUGGGGCAAAGAAAGCUACCUCUACCUCAGUUUCAAAGAGCAGGGCUCUUUGAAACCAUCAUGGUUUCAAUAGGUGAGGCUGCCACUGCCUGGAACCUUGGGAUUGAACCUGUCUGGAGCCUUGGGAGUGGAGGCUUGGAGACUAGCCAGCAGGGCCACCCAGCAGAGCUACAGGUAUGGGACCCCUGACCGACAGACCUGCCUCAGUGUGUCCUGAAGACAGAACUGCCACCCCAGUGGACCCAGGAGGUGGGAUAUUAAGCCGAGAAGGAUUAUUCUUGAGCCUUUAAAGCUUAACAGAAUUUGCCUUGCUAAAGAUUGAGAUCCCCUCAAUCUUUCAGAUUUUCGUAGGACCUAUCACUCCUACCUUCCUAUUUCUCCCUUUUGGAAUGGAAAUGUCUAUCCUAUACCUACCCCACUGUUGUAUUUUGGAUGCACAUAUUUAUCUGGCUUCACAGCUGUGGGCCCCAGCUAAUCACAUGAAUCAUUAAAAGUAGAGAGUCUGUCCCAGCUGGAUCAGAGAGAGAUGACAGCACAAGAAGGACUUGACACCCUGUUACUGGUUUUGAAAUGUCAGAGACUAUGUGCAAGGACUAGAGAAAAGCUUCUAAAAGCUGGGAAAGACAGAAGGACCAGAUUCUCUCCCUUGAGCUGCCAGAAAGGAAUACAGCUCUGCUCACACCCUGAGUUCAGUCUAGUGAGACCCUUGUAGGACUGCCACACACAAAACUGUACAGUCAUGUUCGUGUGCUAAUGGCAACAUUAGAAAACAAGUAUACCUUUUGGUAUCUGGAGGUAAGGUGCUCUGUAACAUACUUAAAAAUGUGGAAUGGUUUCAGAAUUGAGCAGUGGAAAUAGAUGGAAGGGUUUUGAGGAACCCAAUAGGAAAAGCCUAGAUUGCCUUGAACAGACUGUUAGUACAGUUUGGCAUGUUAAUUGUAGCACUCCUGAGGACAUAGAAGGAAAGAGAAGAACAUGGAGAAAACCUAACCACCUUUCCAGAAUGUCUGAAUUGUCAUGCACAGAUUGUUAUGCAAUAGCAAUGUGAAUGCUUAAGAUGCUGCUGACCACGGCUCAGGAGGAAAUAAGGAAUGUGCUAUUGGAAGUUCCUGGAAACCAGAGGAAAGGAGAUGUUUGUGGCAGGAAGAUUUUUGUCCUGCUUUAUGCAGAAAGCAGAAUUCAUAAGCAG